rnacentral:rRNA from 1 species
AGGACGAACGCUGGCGGCGUGCUUAACACAUGCAAGUCGAACGGAAAGGCCCUUUCGGGGGUACUCGAGUGGCGAACGGGUGAGUAACACGUGGGUGAUCUGCCCUGCACUUUGGGAUAAGCCUGGGAAACUGGGUCUAAUACCGAAUACACCUUGCUGGCUGCAUGGCCUGGUGGGGGAAAGCUUUUGCGGUGUGGGAUGGGCCCGCGGCCUAUCAGCUUGUUGGUGGGGUGAUGGCCUACCAAGGCGACGACGGGUAGCCGGCCUGAGAGGGUGUCCGGCCACACUGGGACUGAGAUACGGCCCAGACUCCUACGGGAGGCAGCAGUGGGGAAUAUUGGACAAUGGGGGCAACCCUGAUCCAGCAAUGCCGCGUGAGUGAUGAAGGCCUUAGGGUUGUAAAGCUCUUUCGCCCGCGACGAUGAUGACGGUAGCGGGAGAAGAAGCCCGGCUAACUUCGCGCCAGCAGCCGC